rnacentral:snRNA from 1 species
AGAUAAACAAACUGUACUUUAUGAGAGC